rfam:Callithrix jacchus chromosome 7, whole genome shotgun sequence
CACCUGGCCUUAUUAAAGGCCACCACUUUCUAAACCCACAAAACUAU